rnacentral:rRNA from 1 species
GAAUCCUGCCCAGCAGAAUGACCAGAGAACUCGUAACGAACUCAAUGGAGGCGUUGGGAUUCUUCCCAUCGUCCCUUGACGUCGUAUCGCACGGGCGCCUAGAGCGCUUGAGCUUUCUCGACUACACAACGAACCCCGGCGCGGAAUGCGCCAAGGAACUUGAACAAGAGAGCGAUGCUCCCAUCACCCCAGACAUGGUGCGUGCGUGGGAUGCAAUGCAAUCUCAUAUUAUUUUAUAACGACUCUCGGCAACGGAUAUCUCGGCUCUCGCAUCGAUGAAGAACGUAGCGAACUGCGAUACUUGGUGUGAAUUGCAGAAUCCCGUGAACCAUCGAGUCUUUGAACGCAAGUUGCGCCCGAAGCCAUUCGGUCGAGGGCACGUUUGCCUGGGUGUCACACACGGCGUUGCCCCCAAUCCAUCGCCUUGAAUUUGGUGGGUUGGGAUUGGGGUGCGUAUGUUGGCCUCCCGUGACGACUUAGUCUUCGGUUGGUCCAAAUUCGAGCGUUGGAGCGAUUAGCACCACGAUAUUCGGUGGUUGUUAAACCCCAAUGAUCAAAUGUCAUGCGUGUCUCGCUCAUGCUGACGCUCCAUGAAUCUACUAUUUACCAAC